ensembl:snoRNA SNORA75 Small nucleolar RNA SNORA75
UUCUUCUCAUGAGCUCCUCUCUGUCCAAUCAGUGGCGGUGUAUGGAUUCGCACGAGAAGUAGAGGAAAACUCACAGAUGAACGGGCGUCUCCCUUCUAGAGGGAGUUGCCCAAGUCUUGUUGUGAGACAACU